UUCCGUUGUGUUGUGGCUUUAUUUCGUUGUGUUGUGGCUUGUUUCCGUUGUGUUGUGAACUUAUGUUUGCUUUUUUAAUUUCGUUGUGUUGUGCACUACUGGGCCACCGUACAUAUGUCUAACCAAGCUGUGUUCAAAAUUUGAGGUUGAUAUCUCAAAAAUUGAAGUUCCUAUAACAUUUUGUUCAGUCUAAUCCACCCAAUUGCACAUUUUUGUAUUUCCGCCUGAAUUUGACAUACCCAAAUUUAAAUGUUCACCCUACACACAUACAGUGGAAGAAAUUUAAAAUGUUGGUGUCAUUGUACAGAGGAGAUAUACAUAUCAGGCAUGUGUUCAAAGCUGAGGAUCCUAUUUUUCCAGAGACAUGUCAAUCAAGCUUCUAGUCCACUCAGAUGGCGAGAUAUUCAACAAAUCAUUGAGGCAGACAGGCGGGAUCACACCGCAGCUUUACACACACGCACGCGCUUCAGUUUCACGUGGUGGGCGUGUGAUCGCGUCGCGAGUGAUGAGAGGAGCUGUUUGAUGGAAGAUUUGCAUGUGUUUUCAUAGUUUGUGUAUUGUUUUGACUUCUAAAAUGGCAUACGGAGAGGGAAAAGCACCAAUGGCACCAAUAAGCGAAGUACUUGAAAGAGAUGAGGCAUCGACCUGCAACGCCGUGUUAUGAUUCGGCGAAAAUGACAGCUCGCUUUUCUCGAGGGAGACGAGAGGACCCUGCGUUUGACUGAUGCUGCAUGAGAUGAGAUCAUGGACCACCGGCACAGAUGGUCCUCACCCUCAUCUCCAAGACAGGCCAGAAGAAGGUGAUGCUCUCAACACAAGGGACAAAAUAUUAUAGUGAUGCACAGAAUGAUAUAAAUGUGGAGGAUGUAGAUCAUGUUUUACAUUGUUAAAGACCACAUACAUUUUAUUUUAUAUGUUAUAUUGUCUUGUGUCACCUGAAAGGAGAAUAAAACGUAUAAAACGCUAAA